UGGGGAAUAUUGCACAAUGGGCGCAAGCCUGAUGCAGCCAUGCCGCGUGUAUGAAGAAGGCCUUCUGGUUGUAAAGUACUUUCAGCGGGGAGGAAGGGAGUAAAGUUAAUACCUUUGCUCAUUGACGUUACCCGCAGAAGAAGCACCGGCUAACUCCGUGCCAGCAGCCGCGGUAAUACGGAGGGUGCAAGCGUUAAUCGGAAUUACUGGGCGUAAAGCGCACGCAGGCGGUUUGUUAAGUCAGAUGUGAAAUCCCCGGGCUCAACCUGGGAACUGCAUCUGAUACUGGCAAGCUAGAGUGUCGUAGAGAGGGGUAGAAUGCCAGGUGGAGCGGUGAAAUGCGUAGGGAUCUGGAGGAAUACCGGUGGCGGAGGCGGCCCCCUGGACGAAGACUGACGCUCAGGUGCGAAAGCGUGGGGAGCAAACAGG
rnacentral:rRNA from 1 species